AGGGUUUGAUCAUGGCUCAGGAUGAACGCUAGCGGCAGGCCUAAUACAUGCAAGUCGAGGGGCAGCAGGAGUAGCAAUACUCGCUGGCGACCGGCGCACGGGUGCGUAACACGUAUACAAUCUGCCUUUAACAGGGGGAUAGCCCGGAGAAAUCCGGAUUAAUACCCCAUAACACAAGAAGUAGCAUUACUUUUUGUUGAAAGCUCCGGCGGUUAGAGAUGAGUAUGCGUCUGAUUAGCUAGUUGGUGAGGUAACGGCUCACCAAGGCGACGAUCAGUAGAGGAUCUGAGAGGACUACCCCCCACACGGAUACUGAGACACGGAUCCGACUCCUACGGGAGGCAGCAGUAAGGAAUGUUGGACAAUGCCCGCAAGGGUGAUCCAGCCAUGCCGCGUGCAGGAAGACGGCCCUAUGGGUUGUAAACUGCUUUUACACCGGAGAAAACCCCCUUACGUGUAAGGGGCUGAUAGUAUGGUGAGAAUAAGCAUCGGCUAAUUUCGUGCCAGCAGCCGCGGUAAGACGAAGGAUGCAAGCGUUAUCCGGAUUCAUUGGGUUUAAAGGGAGCGUAGGUGGCCUUAUAAGUCAGUGGUGAAAUCUCUGGGCUUAACCCAGAAAUUGCCAUUGAUACUGUAGGGCUUGAGUAUAGAUGCCGUUGGCGGAAUAUGACAUGUAGUGGUGAAAUACAUAGAGAUGUCAUAGAACACCGAUUGCGAAGGCAGCUAACGAAACUAUAACUGACACUGAGGCUCGAAAGUGUUGGGAUCAAACAGGAUUAGAUACCCUGGUAGUCCACACUGUAAACGAUGAUUACUCGCUGCUAGAGGGCAACUUUUAGUGGCUUAGCGAAAGCGAUAAGUAAUCCACCUGGAGUACGCCGG
rnacentral:rRNA from 1 species